rnacentral:rRNA from 1 species
GACGAACGCUGGCGGCGUGCUUAACACAUGCAAGUCGAGCGGUAAGGCCCUUUCGGGGGUACGACGAGCGGCGAACGGGUGAGUAACACGUGGGUGACCUGCCCUCAGCUCUGGGAUAAGCCUGGGAAACCGGGUCUAAUACUGGAUAUGACUCCAUGGCGCAUGUUGUGGGGUGGAAAGCCUUGUGCGGCUGAGGAUGGGCCCGCGGCCUAUCAGCUUGUUGGUGGGGUGAUGGCCUACCAAGGCAACGACGGGUAGCCGGCCUGAGAGGGCGACCGGCCACACUGGGACUGAGACACGGCCCAGACUCCUACGGGAGGCGAGCAGUGGGGAAUCUUGCGCAAGUGGGCGAAAGCCUGACGCAGCGACGCCGCGUGA